UUUCAUGGCCUCAGUAACCAGAAGAACAGUCACCCUUGGGAAGCUGUUCCUGUGGACUAGAUGUCCAGAGAAACAUGAACUUAGAUCAUAGACAGAAUCUUGAGUGUACUCUAGGAGAGAGACUAAACAGACUAUGGUGGCCAGUGAGGGAGGCUAGGAGUUUUAAGCAGGGGGGAUUGGAAGGCAGGGCCUGCUGCCGUGGCCUGGAAUUGGCUGGUGCACUUCUUAGUAGAAGGGCUGCCCUGUUCUCAUUUCCCUGUCUUGUGUGCUCUCUAGUUGGAAGGAGUCAUUGCAUUUAGGAUGAAAGAAAAACUAAUCAGCCACAUCCCUCUGGGGACUCCGUGGCAAUAUCUUGUCCCUGGAGACCUGUAAGGAAUGGAUGGACCCCCUGUCAAGGGCAGCAGAACUUGGAUGAACAGGUUGACUCUUCCUCAGGUUCAUUUCUGCAUUUGACAACUUGCUGUUCUGCCCUGUGCUGGAUUUGGAGGAUAAAAGUUUGGGAGAGAACUCAGACACUCACCAUACUGACUCUCAUGCCUAUCAGGAGCCCCGAAGCCAGGAUGGUAAUUCCAAGUUGUCCAAAGUGGAGCCCCAGAACUCUGCAUCAGCCAGCCAUUGGGAUGAGAAGAAACCCAAGUAAGACGGUGGCCUUCACGGGAAGCAAAGACUUGAGUGGCCUCCUCUGUGAGCCCCAGCAGGCACCACCCAGCCUUGUGGUGAGACGGAACUGGGACCACUUCAUCAUGUCCUAAAAGCCCCUCUGAGAUUGUCUAAGCUCCUCCUUAGUGAAAUGUCCAGUCUCAGAGCACAGUUUCUAAAACGCUCGUCCUUCACAUUUACCCACAAAUUAAAGUAGAAAUAUGUUUUCAAAAUAUCGUUGAGUUUCAUGUGCUAAAUUCUCUAGAACAAACUCAUUUUAAGGAAGCAGAACUAUUCUCUAUGACUACAUUGGCAUGUGAUUUUUCCAGGAACGCUGUCUUUCUAUAUAUACCUCUCUCAGUUCCUCCAGAUGUCUGCCUUGACACUGGUUUGUUUUGGACACAUGCAGUUCCUUGUUUGGAGAGCUGUUCCCCUGGACUGUCCUUGCCAAGCCACACAUUUGAUUAUUCCUGUUCAUUCUUCAGAUCCACAAAGAGACCCUCACUGACUUCCCCUAAAUCAGCUCCCCUGGCAGCACUCUGGACUUCCCACUGCUGCUCAUCACUCUUUGCUGCUUCCUUUCCUCCUGGCCCGGGACUGAGAGCGGGUGUGCAGUCUCUGGUGAGACAUACGCACCCCUGCCCUGAAUGCUCACGGUCUGAUUCAGUCUUCUCCGUCCUCU